GUAAAUCGAUUCAUUGAGUUGGUUGAGUUUAUAUAGUAAACUCAACGGUAACUUUAACAGUAAAAACAGAAAUGUAAAUGCGGGUAAAAACACGUGUCCCAUUUUGAUACAGCCAUAUUGAAAACAAACGGAAUACGAAACACAUCGUUUCACUUAAGCUUCAAUUUCUCUUCCGUCUUCACGUUGACUAACGGUCUCCAUCUUCUGCUCCGUUUGUUCUUCAUUUCUCCGUUUGUUCUUCAUUGCUGGACUUGAUCGAACUGCAUUUGAUAAAGAUCGCUUUUUCAAGAGGUAAAAUGAUGGUUCAUCGAUCUGGAAACGAAAAGGAGAUAGAGAAUAGAUGGGGCGAGAGAGGCCGCCGCCUCCGUUGUGAAAAAAUAUAAAAAAGAGGAGGAGAAAAGAAGAGAGAGGAGAUGGUCGAAAAAGAGAAGGAGGCGGCGGCACCGCCGCCAUCGG
rnacentral:lncRNA from 1 species